AGUGAACGCUGGCGGUAGGCCUAACACAUGCAAGUCGAACGGCAGCACAGUAAGAGCUUGCCCUUACGGGUGGCGAGUGGCGGACGGGUGAGGAAUACAUCGGAAUCUACUUUUUCGUGGGGGAUAACGGAGGGAAACUUACGCUACUACCGCAUACGACCUACGGGUGAAAGCAGGGGAUCUUCGGACCUUGCGCGAUUCAAUGAGCCGAUGUCGGAUUAGCUAGUUGGCGGGGUAAAGGCCCACCAAGGCGACGAACCGUAGCUGGUCUGAGAGGAUGAUCAGCCACACUGGAACUGAGACACGGUCCAGACUCCUACGGGAGGCAGCAGUGGGGAAUAUUGGACAAUGGGCGCAAGCCUGAUCCAGCCAUACCGCGUGGGUGAAGAAGGCCUUCGGGUUGUAAAGCCCUUUUGUUGGGAAAGAAAAGCAGCAGGUUAAUACCCCGCUGUUCUGACGGUACCCAAAGAAUAAGCACCGGCUAACUUCGUG
rnacentral:rRNA from 1 species